ACCAGACUCCUACGGGAGGCAGCAGUGGGGAAUAUUGCACAAUGGGGGAAACCCUGAUGCAGCAACGCCGCGUGAGUGAAGAAGUAUUUCGAUAUGUAAAGCUCUAUCAGCAGGGAAGAAGAUGACGGUACCUGAGUAAGAAGCCCCGGCUAACUACGUGCCAGCAGCCGCGGUAAUACGUAGGGGGCAAGCGUUAUCCGGAUUUACUGGGUGUAAAGGGAGCGUAGACGGCAUAGCAAGUCUGAAGUGAAAGCCCAAGGCUCAACCAUGGGACUGCUCUUGGAACUGCGCGGCUGGAGUGCAGGAGGGGCAGGCGGAAUUCCUGGUGUAGCGGUGAAAUGCGUAGAUAUCAGGAGGAACACCGGUGGCGAAGGCGGCCUGCUGGACUGCGACUGACGUUGAGGCCCGAAAGCGUGGGGAGCAAACAGGAUUAGAUACCCCCGUAC
rnacentral:rRNA from 1 species